rnacentral:SRP_RNA from 1 species
GGGAGCGCGGGCUUGUGACCCAAGCGGGGGCUUUAAGGUGAUGGGACAUUGCUCCAGCAUAGAUGGUCGGAUUCGAUAUGACUAAUUUCUGGCUUGCCCGUUCCAAGCUGGGAGUUAAACCAUGGGUCCCCGGCGAAGGCUUGGGUCUCCUGGUUCUUAGAGCAGAGGGUAACGCGUGAGGCUGGUUUCACAGAGCAGCGACUACCUCUCGCUCCUGGCAGUGGAAGGACAACAAGCCGGCGUCACUCGAAUCCACAUGGCUAGAUGGGCUGUGCCAACUGGACCAUCAUUUUUUUUAAGAA